AUUGAACGCUGGCGGCAUGCCUUACACAUGCAAGUCGAACGGCAGCACGGGACCUUGCUCCUGGUGGCGAGUGGCGAACGGGUGAGUAAUACAUCGGAACGUACCCUGUCGUGGGGGAUAACACAGCGAAAGCUGUGCUAAUACCGCAUACGACCUGAGGGUGAAAGCGGGGGAUCGCAAGACCUCGCGCGAUGGGAGCGGCCGAUAUCGGAUUAGCUUGUUGGUGAGGUAAAGGCUCACCAAGGCGACGAUCCGUAGCUGGUCUGAGAGGACGACCAGCCACACUGGAACUGAGACACGGUCCAGACUCCUACGGGAGGCAGCAGUGGGGAAUUUUGGACAAUGGGGGCAACCCUGAUCCAGCCAUUCCGCGUGAGUGAAGAAGGCCUCGGUUGUAAGACUCUUUCAGCAGGAACGAAACGGUGGUCCUAAUACGGCGUACUAAUGACGGUACCUGAAGAAGAAGCACCGGCUAACUACGUGCCAGCAGCCGCGGUAA
rnacentral:rRNA from 1 species